UGGGGAAUUUUGGACAAUGGGCGCAAGCCUGAUCCAGCCAUGCCGCGUGAGUGACGAAGGCCUUAGGGUUGUAAAACUCUUUCGUCGGGGACGAUAAUGACGGUACCCGAAGAAGAAGCUCCGGCUAACUUCGUGCCAGCAGCCGCGGUAAUACGAAGGGAGCUAGCGUUGUUCGGAAUCACUGGGCGUAAAGCGCACGUAGGCGGAUAGUUAAGUCAGGGGUGAAAUCCUGGGGCUCAACCCCAGAACUGCCUUUGAUACUGGCUGUCUCGAGGUCGAGAGAGGUUGGUGGAAUUCCUAGUGUAGAGGUGAAAUUCGUAGAUAUUAGGAAGAACACCAGUGGCGAAGGCGGCCAACUGGCUCGAUACUGACGCUGAGGUGCGAAAGCGUGGGGAGCAAACAGGAUUAGAUACCCAUGUAGUCCCUGAGCGGGCUGGCAAGGCGCAU
rnacentral:rRNA from 1 species